rnacentral:rRNA from 1 species
GAUGAACGCUGGCGGCGUGCCUAAUACAUGCAAGUCGAGCGAACGGACGAGAAGCUUGCUUUUCUGUUGUUAGCCGCGGACGGGUGAGUAACACGUGGAUAACCUCCCUUUAAGACUUGUAUAACUUCGGGAAACCGGAUCUAAUACCGGAUAAUAUUUUUCACCGCAUUGUUCAAAAGUGAAAGACGGUCUUUCUGUCACUUCUCGAUUGAUCCGCGCUUCAUUGGCUAGUUGGUAAGGUAACGGCUUACCAAGGCAACGAUGCAUAGCCGAACUGAGAGGGGGAUAGGCCCCCAUGGAAGUGGGACACGGGCCCGACGCCUAAGGGAGGGAGCAGGAGGGAAUCUUCCGCAAAGGGCGGAAGCCUGACGGAGCAAAGGCGCGUGAGGGGUGAAGGUCCUCGGAUCGGAAAAACCUGUUAUUAGGGAAGAACAUAUGUGUAAGUAACUGUGCACAUCUUGACGGUACCUAAUCAGAAAGCCACGGCUAACUACGUG